GGGGUACGAAGAAAAGUCGGUAGACUUCCCACAUCUCUAUCCCACCUUAAGCGGCUGGCUCCAAAAGGUUACCUCACCGACAACGGGGGUUACAAACUCUCCUGGUGUGACGGGCGGUGUGUACAAGGCCCGGGAACGUAUUCACCGGGGCGUGCUGUUCCACGGUUUCUAGACCUUUCUGCUUCUUGUAUGCCCUUUUGAUCCUGAAGUUCCCACUGUGAUAAUCUUUCAGAAAUUACUUUUCCCUUUCCGGUGGACAACGCGCCGUAAUUCCCAUUGGCACACGUGUGUAGCCCAGGUCAUAAGGGGAAUGAUGAUUUGACGUCAUCCCCACCUUCCUCCCAAUUUGUCACCGGCAGUCUUGCUAGAGUGCCCAACUGAAUGAUGGCAACUAACAAUAAGGGUUGCGCUCGUUGCGGGACUUAACCCAACAUCUCACGACACGAGCUGACGACAACCAUGCACCACCUGUCACUUUGCCCCCGAAGGGGAAGCUCUAUCUCUAGAGUGGUCAAAGGAUGUCAAGACCUGGUAAGGUUCUUCGCGUUGCUUCGAAUUAAACCACAUGCUCCACCGCUUGUGCGGGCCCCCGUCAAUUCCUUUGAGUUUCAACCUUGCGGUCGUACUCCCCAGGCGGAGUGCUUAAUGCGUUAGCUGCAGCACUGAAGGGCGGAAACCCUCCAACACUUAGCACUCAUCGUUUACGGCGUGGACUACCAAGGUAUCUAAUCCUGUUUGCUCCCCACGCUUUCGAGCCUCAGCGUCAGUUACAGACCAGAGAGCCGCCUUCGCCACUGGUGUUCCUCCAUAUAUCUACGCAUUUCACCGCUACACAUGGAAUUCCACUCUCCUCUUCUGCACUCAAGUCUCCCAGUUUCCAAUGACCCUCCCCGGUUGAGCCGGGGGCUUUCACAUCAGACUUAAGAAACCGCCUGCGCUCGCUUUACGCCCAUAAAUCCGGACAACGCUUGCCACCUACGUAUUACCGCGCUGCUGGCACGUAGUUAGCCGUGGCUUUCUGGUUAGAUACCGUCAAGGGAUGACAGUUACUCUCAUCCUUGUCUUCUCUUAACAACAGAGUUUACGAUCCGAACCUUCUUCACUCACGCGGCGUGCUCGUCAGAACUUUCGUUCAUGCCGAGAUCCCUACUGCUGCCUCCGUAGGAGUUGGACGGUCUCAGUCCCAAUGUGACGAAUCCCCCUCUCAAGUCGGCAUAGCCUACUGGCCUUGGUGACCCGUAACUCCCCCAACUCGCUAUGGCCGUGUCUACUCUCAUAGGAAACCUGAAGGCGCUUUCAAUAUCAAACCAUUGCCAGU
rnacentral:rRNA from 1 species